GACUAAAGGGGGUGGGAUCUAAAGUCAGUUCUCUAGUUCUCUAGUUGUGAGAAGAAGCAGCACUCCUUUGAUUGGUGAGAGGGAGGAAGAGCAAAAAAUCGAGUUUGAGGAGGCUGGGGAAUGCUCGGAUGUAUUUUAGCAAUCCCCAAACUUUAUCCAAAAAACCACUCGGAAAUAUUCCUCAGAGCAACAAGUUGCCUCCUUGAAACCGCUUGCGAGAAAAUUUGACUUGUGCCAUUACAUAAGAAGGAGAAUUGUCAUUUUCGCACUUUAUGUGCCCUUUUUUUAAUGAUUCAACUCAUCAAGCUGACGCUCAGUGUUUUCUUUUUCUUUAACCAGCAAGAUGCCCGUGCGUUGCUACGGCGAAACGAUGUUACUUAGCGCACAAUAUUUUUUAUCGUGUCAUGUAGCGCACCAUAUUUUUUAUCGUGUUGCAUAACAUUUUUAUCGUGUUGCUCCAGCAGUUUGUUGCGUGUGCGGUCUCCGCGCGGUUGGAUAUGGACACGCUCACACGUUGCUCCAGUGAUACAGAAAAAUAGAGCUCAUAUGAGAUGAAAAAUAGAAAAGAAAGGCGUGGACAGGCUUAGGAUAUUAUUUAGUAUUUUUGAGAAUUUUUGAGGAAUUUUUGGGAUAAGGGAAGGGCUCUCGGUAAAAAAGACGUGUGCACUUACCGGGUGCACCUAGCGAUUUCUUGGUGGCUGACGCAGUGAGCGCGUGGGGACUGAUGCUGGCACUAUUUCGUGGACAGGCUGGUACGCGGUGGACCCACAUUGUUUCUUUCUUUCUCCCUUCUCCUGCCUUAUCCGUUCCCCUCGUAAGGUGCUCUUCGUCACAGCACCGCCGGGCUCUAGCCUCGCACCGCGCCUUCCUCGCCGCUCUACUUCAUCCAUGCCGUGCUUCUCCGCUCCCAUGCCGUUCCAAUCUUCCGUGGCCGCGGCUGAGUCAUGGAUGCUGGGCGCCACACUCAUAGUCUUACACCAGCUCCGGCGGCCAUGCAUACCACACCAAGCGGCACGUGCCAGCUGAGAAGCGGCCGCGUACCUACCGCAACCACCGACAAACGUUCAGCAUGUGCAUGGAUGGAGAAGGAGCCGAAGGGGGCGGGCGGCCGGGGCAGCGUGGGCGUUCGGGGCCGGGGCUGGGCCGAGGCUGCGCGGGCGGCCAGGUCGGAGCAGACGCGGAGGAUGGAGGGAUCUGCGGCGGACAGAAAAAGACGGAACGCACGCGGAGGACGAGAGUAGACGGAGACUAUGAUAGUGGGAGGCGCGGGCAGCGGCGUGGAGCACGGGAGCGCAAGGCGUUGGGAGGAGGUGGCACGGGCGAGCAGGUGGUAGGAGGUCGCCCCUCGCCCUCGCCGCGCGCAAGGGCAGUGCGGGGCAGGGGCAGCGGCAGUCGGCGGGGUGCCCCGCUCCGGCCGCCGCCCGCGCCCUCGCCUCUCAGCUUUUUGCCGUUUAACCUCCCCCUCUUCUCUCCUUUUAUCACCCGAACCCCUUUCUCUUUACAAUAUGGAUUGCGGGUUGAUUUCUAAAAACUUCAGGGGCUUUUUUGAAAAAUAGGACGACGGACGAAAAUAAUAUGGCAGAGACGUUACUCGCUUUAAUAAUAGGUAUAGGUAUAGAUUUUCUUUCUGUCAAUUUUGAACGGGGAUGACGAGUAUAUAUGAUCGAGCUCCUUUAUACACCAAACAAUAUUCACUGGACGCGAACAAAUGCAUUAGAGUCUAAUCAUGUCGUGUGAUGUGGAAGCGUGUCAUGACUAUGAGAUCUUGGACAUAUUCGUAGAGGAAAGCAACUCUGCUUUUGGUCUUUCAUUCUACUUCGUCUGCCUUCAAAAUGGCUUCACCGCCAAAAAAUCUGUGGUGUAAAUUGGAAAGGGUUGGAAAUUUGUAACAGCCCGAAAAUUCAACUGAAAAAUCACUCGAAUUCAAAAAUUUCAAAACCUGGUUUAAUCUUUGGUAGAACUGCUCGGGAGAGUCCUAUUUUCCAUCACCGCUUCCUAACUGACGCUCAGUGUUUUUUUUAUUUUUUUUCUGUCAAUGUUGAAAAGGCCUUACGAGACUAUCUACGCUCGAGUUCCGUUAUACACCAAACAAUAUUCAGUGGGCGCGAACAAAUGUGACGUGGAAGCAUGUCAUGACUUUGAGAUCAUGGACAUAUUCGUAGAGGAAAGCAAUUCUGCCUCUUGGAUUUUCAUUCUUCUUCGUUUGCCUUUAGUGAGGUUGGAAAGGGUUGCAAAUUGCUCUCGUCACCUGACAUGGACAGACGAAAAAUCCAAAAGAAGUGUGAAGUGACAUGCUUUAGUACUCUCCUUUUAUUUCUGGCUUGGAGCGUCACCAGCUUGGAACGGCGAACGGGACGAGCUGAUGAUGGGGCCAGAUGAUCUUGAUCGUUACAGUUUUACUUGUAAAUAAAAUGAGAAUUGUUCACUGUAACUUCAAAUGUACUAUCUGUUAUUUUUUUUUGCGGGUACUAUCUGUUAUUUCGAGCUCACUUAGUCCCGAGUACAUCCAAAAUCAAAUAGAUUUUCGUUCGUUUUU